AUGCACGCUGGCGGCUUGCCUCAUACAUGCAAGUCGCGCGCACAGACGAGGAGCUUGCUCCUCUGACGUUAGCGGCGGCCGGGUGAGUAACACGUGGAUAACCUACCUAUAAGACUGGGAUAACUUCGGGAAACCGGAGCUAAUACCGGAUAAUAUAUUGAACCGCAUGGUUCAAUAGUGAAAGACGGUUUUGCUGUCACUUAUAGAUGGAUCCGCGCCGCAUUAGCUAGUUGGUAAGGUAACGGCUUACCAAGGCAACGAUGCGUAGCCGACCUGAGAGGGUGAUCGGCCACACUGGAACUGAGACACGGUCCAGACUCCUACGGGAGGCAGCAGUAGGGAAUCUUCCGCAAUGGGCGAAAGCCUGACGGAGCAACGCCGCGUGAGUGAUGAAGGUCUUCGGAUCGUAAAACUCUGUUAUUAGGGAAGAACAAAUGUGUAAGUAACUAUGCACGUCUUGACGGUACCUAAUCAGAAAGCCACGGCUAACUACGUG
rnacentral:rRNA from 1 species